rnacentral:tRNA from 1 species
GGUCGGAUGGUCUAGAGGUAUGAUUCUCGCUUCGGGUGCGGGAGGAUACGGGUUCGAAUCCCGGUUCGGCUA